ACUACUGCGACCAAUGCGGAUAAUAACUAACCAGACUUUGAAGAGGGGGGGGCAGAAAAGCGGUCAGUGCCUUGACAGCAAGUUUGUGACCAGAAGAGCCGCAAGUGACCUUGAGCUUUCGAAAACUUCACAACACGCAACCCGUGCUGGUCUGCGACUUACAACUGUAUUCAUGAGCAUCUGGCUGAGCCUGACCUGCAUGGAGAUGAGCUGCAUUUUAAGCAACUGGUAUGCAGAAGGGCAUCUCUGACUGCACAACAUGGAGAACCUCGAAGCAGAUGGGCUACAGCAGCAGAACACCAGCAGAUGCAGCAAAACAUCAGUUCUCAUGUGUGACACCUCUGAGUGCUCGGGGAUGGUGCAGACAGCAGAACCAACUGUGUGGGAAGAAUGACAGGACAUCGUGUCCCCUCUCUAAUUAGGAUAAGUGACAAGAGUGAUUGUUGUUAGCUGCAGAAGUGAUGGCAUUAAAGGGCUGAGAGCCAGCCACACAGCUGGGAGAUUAGGGACACGUGCAUAUUUUGGCCUCGACACGUACGUCACCAAAAGGACACGGAGGAAGAAAACAAGGUGAAAAGGGACUGCUACGUAAUGCACCUGUCAAAUAGGUCCUUGCAACAUGUGUGGUGUUAUGUGACCGAGGAGAAGAAGGCCAGGGCAUUUAGAAGAAACAAACACUUGUGUUCUUAGCUAAGUGCGACGAGGCUUAUAGGAUGCAGACUGCUGUGUGAAGUGCUGAAUAAAAGGUGCACAGAUGGUGUUUUAUUUAU